CUUCACCGAGCCGAGCCACAAUGGCCGGGCUCCGGCGCGCUCCUGGCCGUAGGUGGCGAGGAGCGCCUGUGCCUC
rnacentral:antisense_RNA from 2 species